UCAAAGCUCCCAUGACCUCUCAGAGAAAAUGCGGGAAGUUUCCCAGGGCUCUGUCCUCUUCAGACUUUAGGAGUUCUCUGAGUAAGUAACCUAAAAUUAACUGACAGCCUUUGACUUAACAUGGAAACAGCCCAUCUGAGAACAAAGUCAACAUGGAAUAAACCUGAUCUGGAAGAUACUAAGAGCUGAAGAGGCAGAGAUCUGAUAACAUCAGGCCCGGGAUCCAGCCAUACCUGAAGAUGAGCGACAACUCCAGAGAAGGGAAUGUGGGAGGACUUUCUAGAAGGAGAAGACAGCUUGGCCAAAGGUUCAGAGGUGCCGACGUGAGGGUCUGCUUGAGAAAAAGUGGUGGAUGCAGGAAAACGGCUUCAUCUGGGCACUCAGCGCAUUGCAGAAACAGCAAAGUAUUGCAGCAUUGAAGGAAAAACUGGCUGUGUUGGACCCAUGAGAUGGAGUCUGUGAUCCCUCAGAACUUUUCCGAGCUGCUUUGGACUCUGCAAUGAUUUCCUUUCACCCUGGUUGGAGAAUGCCGCCGGUCUCAGAAAAUGCUACUCACCCCCCGCCCCACCCCCCACUCCGGCAAAAUUCUUUUCUCCUCUCUUUGUCUCUGGUAUCUUGUCUCCUUCAUCCGCCCACCUGCUCUCUUUCAUUGUCUUCCGGAAGGCUUGGGCUCCUAAGCUCAAGCGGGCAGAACCCGCUGCAGGUCUGGACUGCUCUGGGUGCUCCAUCCCCCAAGUCUUCCUCAAAGGGGUGGAAGUGGCUUCUCCUGGCAAAGUGCCCUUCUCCAGUCCACACGCCAGGGCUCCCAUUUGUUAUUGAGGAAGUAGUGGCCUACUCCACUUUUGAACUUGAGCCUCUAUAUCUUUUGCCAGGUAAUAAACACAGUGGCUCAAUAAAUGCUGAGAGUCGAAAUAGGGGAGAAAAGGGGAAAUGGAUGUGUGUGAGUGGAGUAAAAGAAAGCAGGCCUAAUUUUGUUCAUUGCCAUCUCCCCAGUGUAUACAAGAGGCUGAGUAGGUGCUCAAUCCAGUUACCCAAGAAAUGAGCCCAGAUUAACCUUCUCUUUGGGUGAAUGGGGAAACUGAAUCUUGGGGCUCCUUGGCUUUUCAGUCCUUUUUCC